GAUGGACGCUGGCGGCGUGCCUAAUACAUGCAAGUCGAGCGAACAGACGAGGAGCUUGCUCCUCUGACGUUAGCGGCGGACGGGUGAGUAACACGUGGAUAACCUACCUAUAAGACUGGGAUAACUUCGGGAAACCGGAGCUAAUACCGGAUAAUAUAUUGAACCGCAUGGUUCAAUAGUGAAAGACGGUUUUGCUGUCACUUAUAGAUGGAUCCGCGCCGCAUUAGCUAGUUGGUAAGGUAACGGCUUACCAAGGCAACGAUGCGUAGCCGACCUGAGAGGGUGAUCGGCCACACUGGAACUGAGACACGGUCCAGACUCCUACGGGAGGCAGCAGUAGGGAAUCUUCCGCAAUGGGCGAAAGCCUGACGGAGCAACGCCGCGUGAGUGAUGAAGGUCUUCGGAUCGUAAAACUCUGUUAUUAGGGAAGAACAAAUGUGUAAGUAACUAUGCACGUCUUGACGGUACCUAAUCAGAAAGCCACGGCUAACUACGU
rnacentral:rRNA from 1 species